GAUGAACGCUGGCGGCGUGCCUAAUACAUGCAAGUCGAGCGAACGGGCGAGAAGCUUGCUUCUCUGAUGUUAGCGGCGGACGGGUGAGUAACACGUGGAUAACCUACCUAUAAGACUGGGAUAACUUCGGGAAACCGGAGCUAAUACCGGAUGAUAUUUUGAACCGCAUGGUUCAAAAGUGAAAGACGGUCUUGCUGUCACUUAUAGAUGGAUCCGCGCUGCAUUAGCUAGUUGGUAAGGUAACGGCUUACCAAGGCAACGAUGCAUAGCCGACCUGAGAGGGUGAUCGGCCACACUGGAACUGAGACACGGUCCAGACUCCUACGGGAGGCAGCAGUAGGGAAUCUUCCGCAAUGGGCGAAAGCCUGACGGAGCAACGCCGCGUGAGUGAUGAAGGUCUUCGGAUCGUAAAACUCUGUUAUUAGGGAAGAACAUAUGUGUAAGUAACUGUGCACAUCUUGACGGUACCUAAUCAGAAAGCCACGGCUAACUACGUG
rnacentral:rRNA from 1 species